GAGCUGGACUCUCAUUC
rnacentral:misc_RNA from 1 species